GAGUCAAAAAUCAGUAAGACCGGGCAAAAUUGGCUCUUUAAUGUCUUUGCUUUGUUCUUGAUACACAAACAACGAACAAGGAGGGACAGCUGUGGGUACCAAAUUUUGCCCGGGCCCAUUUACCUUUAAAGCCCAAAUUUUUAAACCAAAAAUAAACCCCCAAAGACCAAAAAUAGAACCAAAAUCAAAUAAAAAACAAAAUAAAAACAGACCCAAUUUUGAAGCCCAAAUACUUAACCCUAACCCACAAACCCCAAAACAUUUUCAGCCAGGACCCUAGCCUCCAACUACCUCCAUGCUUCUACUACCCACGUUCUCCACCACCAAGCACGACCCACG
rnacentral:lncRNA from 1 species